rnacentral:lncRNA from 1 species
CCAGCUUAGACCUAGUGGGAAGAUCGGCAGAGUCGGCGGCCAAACCCACUGGGAACUAUAUUUAUAUAGUUCUCACCCCGUGUGGUUUUGGGGUAUAGGUACACACGAGAGCGGACCGGCAGUUGAUCGCGGUAAGGGCUUAGCGCCCUAGAGGUUGUAGUAGUAGCUUUCUUACCCUUUGCAUUAGAGCUACCUUGUACAUACUUGAGAGUAGAUGAUGUAUAGGUGUGAGAUAUUUUGGGAAAUUAUAAACUUUAAGUUUAUGUUGUAUUUUGGAAGAAUAUAAAGUAAUCAAAUGUAUUAAAGUUGAAUGGAUGUAAUAGAUUAGUAUCUCUCUUUUAUUCACUUGUUUAUUACUUGUGAUGCUUGCUCUUUAGUUAAUUAGCACUGAUUGUGCUCUCGCUGUUGUUGUCUGAUUGUGUAUGUAAUCAAGUUGUUUUCCUCGGCACUUGUGUACACAAUCUCGUUGUUUAGCCGUGGGCGGACAGGAGAGGUGCUGUCUAUUCGGCGUCUGUCCGACGCGCCCGAACCGGCCAAAGUGGUAGCGGUUUCGGGGCGUGACAGUUGUGGUAUCAGAGCGAGUUAAGAGCAAGCAAAGAGAGAGUCUAGGAUGGACCUAAGAGACCCUAGGACGGUUUACCCUAAGGUUAUAGGUGCGUGAGUGCGACGUGAACCUAUGACGGCGGCGGAAGUUGAUUGAUUGGGUCGAAGUUGGUGUUGAGACUCUAGUAGUUGCUAGAGACGAUUCAAGUAGUACUAGUUCUUGGCUUAAGGUGGUUGUGUUGGCGGCCGACAACACGAUGCCGAGAGUCAAGAGCUAGUAUGCUUGUGAACUUCCGCCUGAUUUGUGUUGUUGAAACGUUUUAUCGCGUAAUUGCGAGAAGUUGUUGGGUUGAGGUGAUUAACCGAUUUAUUGCGUUUCAGGAGCUAAUGUCCCCGAGACGCUACGAACGUAGAUCCGUUCCGGCACAGCCUCCUGAGGUGCCAGAGCAAGCUGGAUCAAGCGAAGUGCAGGAGUUGCGGGAGCAGGUAGCUGCACUUGUUGGCGCGAUGCAACGCCAAGAGAGUAGGAUCGAGCGGCUCCAAGAGUUAUUGGAGCAACAAGUGGCUGCGGCGGCCGCGACAGCAGGUCAAGGCCAUGGCCCACCCGCACCCUCGGCGCGCGCGCCUGAGGCGGCUGACGGUGAGGGCAUUGCGGCAGCUCCGGUGGCGGCACGUCCCCCGCCGGCGAGUGUUCCUCCAGCGGCAUCGGGUUCUGCGACACUCGGUGCGGCGGCCGAGGAGAUAGAGCGAGACCGUGGCUACACGGCUCUCACAAGGUUUAUGAAGUUCCACCCUCCGAUGUUCCACGGUGAAGUGGUUGAUCCCUGGACAGUAGAGACAUGGUUGGCCGCAAUGGAAACCCUGUUCGAGGACAUCUACACCGCGGAGCGUGAUAAGGUGCCUUUAGCCGCGCAUUGCUUCGAUAAGCGGGCCAGAGUGUGGUGGCGGAGAGUGAAGCAGGAUCGAUCUUCGGACCUUCCCCCGAUUGAUUGGGAGGAGUUCCGAAGGUUGAUGUUUGCGGAGUACUUUUCGGACAGUGAGAAGCGGAAGAUGCGAGAGGACUUCCGGAAGCUAAAGCAGGGCAACCGCAUAGUUCGGGAGUAUGAGCGGGAGUUCACCCAUCUCCUGAACUGUGUCCCGGACGUGGCGAGAACUGAGAAAGACCGGGCAGAGUGCUUUGUGCGAGGACUUCGUCCCGGAGUGUUCCGAUUGGUGCAUGCGUUUAAGUUCCGCACCUUCGCGGAAGUGUUGGACCGUGCCUUAUGGGUUGAGCACGGAAACGCUUGCGAACGAGAAGAGCGUGAGGCGUCCGAGAAGGACAAGGGGAAGAAGCGACAGGGCGGUGGUUCUGGAGGUCAAUCGAGUUCCAAGAAGCCCCCGAAGUACCCGCGAGAGCAGUCCGAGGACCGUGAAGUGCAGCAGUGCGUCUUUUGUGGUGGAGACCACUGAAUGACGCAAUGUGAGCAUCGCCGAGGGAGGUGUUAUGAAUGUGGCCAGGCGGGGCACAUGGCCCGUGAUUGCUCGAGAAAGGCUUUGGUUGCCCCGUCUGUCGCAUCGGCUCCGACAGUUCCAGGCCAUUAUGGCAGAGCCCCACCUAUGGUUGCGUCGGCUGGACGUGCCUUGGCGCCACGUCAGCCUGAGGCGACCCGAUCUGCUCCAAGUGGUCGGGUGUACGUCGCUCAAGUCAAGGAGCCUGCUGCUGCAGAUGAUGUCAUGGCAGGUAUGGUUUAGUUGAAGCAAGUAUAUACCUUUGCAUGAUAUUAAGUAAGUGCAUUGCAUGCAUUGUAGUUGUGGUCAUUUGUUACUACUUAUUCAUAAGCAUAGUAGAGACCAGAGCAUGGGUCGGUGUAGUUACCCUAGCAUGCACGAGUUGUGAUGGUACGUUGCUUACCUCGAAUUGUCGAGGGCAGAGAUUUUUGGUUAAGGCGAUAGUCCGAGGUUAGGUUCGGGAGCGAGAGUGUCACGUAUUGGAUCUCGAGAUCAAGCACGCAUUAAGAGUGCGAUGGUGACCCAACCCGACGAAUUGUAGUGGUUUGAGGUCUUAAUUGCUCCUGGUCGGAAUGUGUGCGAAUUCCAAAGUGAGAAUUUCGCCCAGUUAUGAUUGGGUCAACGCUUGCGAGCGAGAGACGUCGCGAGUGUCGAGAUGGUUGGGCUAUAGGACUGGGUAAAGUUAGUGACUGUUGGUCCACAUGUGGAAAUCGAUGUGAUCGGUUUGGCCAAUAACUCUGUCGAGGAGUUUGGCUUGGAUUUGCGAACAGAGAGUUCGUGUGAGUUUGUUGUAGAGCGAUUGAAGUUGGAAGUGGCAAUGGAGAGGUAAGAUAAAGUGGUCUCUUGGAGACACUUGAAUGCCAGAUAGCCAGAUAGAGUUGAGAAAGUUGCUCUCUUGAGGAUUAACAUUGAAGAUGGACCAAAUUGUGCCACCUCGCAAUAGAGCAAGAUCCGGAUGUGAUGGUAGCACUCGCGGUCGAUCGACGCACCAAUAAUAUUGCCUCUAGGCAAUGCCGGUGAUCGACUCGGAACGUGUUCCCCGAUUAGGAGAGUAGUGCAAGGAGAAAUUUCUUGCAUGGUAGUAAUGCACUUUUGGUGUUGCACGUAGCAAAUGUGAGUGAACUUGGUCUCACGUCCUCCGUAGUGGUCCUUUGGAUAGUUCCGACGAGUGGAAGGCCACCCCGGAGUGCGAAAGUACAUUGGAAUCCUUGAUUACUCAAUGAGUUGAGUUGAGGUGUGAGUUGGAUUUGAGGUUAGUUUCGAGGACGAAACUGCUUUUAAAGAGGGGAGGAUGUAAGGUACCGGACUUCAAAAAAUUAUGAAGUUACGGUGUACACUUGGUUGGGAAGCCAUUUGAAUGGUUCCGGUGAAGUUCGGUGAGGUUUGGGAGCAUUCGGGCAUUUCGAUGCGCGUAGGCGCAAAAAUGAAACCCGAAAGGGUAUGUUGGGUCGUGAACUAAAUCCGGCAUUAGCAGGGAUGAAGAGAUGAUGAAAACACGCUCGAAAAUAUGUUUGGAGAGUCUCGGUUCGAUUUGAAAAGAAUCGGAGGUCAAACGAGCGAAAACGAGUGAAAACGGAGAAGAAACGGUGAAAAAGCUGAAAAUUUCGCUAAGUCCUAAAAUGCUAGAAUUCUGGACCUACGGGGACCGAUCCCUCAAGUCCAAGGACCGAUCCCCUAUACAAAAAAGUGCCCCGCGAGGGGCAAUGCACUAAAUGCAUUGUUGGAGGGGUUUUUGGCAAAAUUGCAUUAGUUGGAGCUACAAGAGAGGUCUAGGGCUUGUUUUCUCUCAUUUUCCUCCACCCUCUCACCCUAAGACACCUCUCUCUCUCUCUAGAAGCUCUCUCUCUCUCAUCAAGGAAGGAAAGGAGAGGAGGGAUUGGCGGAGAAGAAGCAAAGAAAGAAGAACUUCAUCUUCUUCCCUUGGCCAUUGGAGCUUGUUUGAGGUAAGCUUUAUACCCUCUAAUGGUAGAUCCUUAGAGAUGGGUUUUUAAGCUCUAGAAUUGGAUUUGGGUGAACCCUAGCAUGCUAGGGAGUUGAUUGAUGCUUGAAUCUAGAGGCUACAUGAUGGAUUUUUGCAUAGUGAAUACCUAGGGCUCAAAAUGGGGGUUUUGAGAAAUCUAGGGUUUUGAUCUAAAUUGAAUGAUUGUAAACCUAAUUGCUAGGUAUUCUGACGCGUUGGCGAUGACGGUUCGUCGAUUCGUCGAGCGGUUGCGAAGAUAUUGAAGGAAAAGCUUCUUUUGGUUCAGAUUGCCGCAGUUCGCGGCGCAGGCUUCCUAAAAUCACAAAAACGGAACCCUAGCCUCGUGGUAGCGAUAAAAGGUGGGGGGUGUCAUCCCGAAGCAACUGGGCUUCUCCUUAUGUCUAAGUAUCUCUAUGUUGAUCAAUUAUGCAUAUUGAGCAUGAUGCAUUAUAGGGUGCUCGAUUAGUGUUAUUACAUAUUCUUGCAUGCUAGUGUAAUAUAGUGUUGUUGGCUUCGAUACUUGUACCUAGUAUGCAUGUGAUUGGGACAUAGUGUAGUGAAACCCUAUAAUGACAAGAUUAAUGUGGAUAGACUCUAGUUGAAAGAACACCUAGUCGUUGUGUACAAUUAGAGUAUUGAGAACGAGUGGCAUCUAGUUAAUGUUAAACUUGACGAGUGGCAUGAUAAGUAAAGUAUAGAGAAAAUACUUGUCGUAGGUGGAACCUAGGGAUGAGCUAGUUCCCAUGUCACGCCCCGCGACCACCCGCCUAUUUGGCCGGGUCGCGGCGCCGUCAACAGACUGCCGAACGGACAGAGUUUCCCCUGUACGUCCUAGGCGUUGCAAUCAAAACAAUAUACAAAUGUUCCAACCACGAACUGAUAUCAAUCAAGAUUGCAGAAGGAAGUAUCAAUAACAUAAGCUACUUGCUAUUACAAGCAUUCAUUUCAUACAAUAUUUUUCUUUUACAUUUGCUUAACUUUCAAGUACAAUUACAUUUAAUACAAGUUGGUUGUUGUCAUUCCAUUCUAACCCCUAGGCCCUGCUGACUCGGGGUACUGCUAGCUCUGGUCUCCGGGAUAGGGCGCUAUUUAUGAAGCUACGCCCUCGCCUCGUGCUGCCGCGCCGCUCACGUGCGAACCUGUAACACCCCAAAACAAUGUGGGGUGAGAACCAACUCCAUGGUUUCCAGUGGGUACGGCCACCCAAGGGAAAAGCUCGACCAAUAGGUCCGAGGAGGCACUGCAACAUGUUAGUUCAACAAUAUACAACAGAUAUAUAUAUUCAAUUGAAAUACAUGCCAUGCCUCACAAUAUACGAUAUGAAAAUCAUGCAACUCUAUGCAACAACUAGUAGAUCAACUGAUCCUACACUUUACUUGGCUAUUCUUAGCUCGUACCCUAAGGCUUCUACUACCUCGGGUUCAUACUCAAGUCCACUGGCUUCUAAGGUCUCUAUUACCUUAGCUCAAGCCUCUAUCUCUAGCUCAUAAGGGUUCCACUACCCCAUCGAAGCUAACCAUCCGACUCGGCUUCGGGUCAAUCAUCCGCGGAUAGUCCGCGCACUGACUGCUCAUCAUCCUACGGCCCUCUAAACUCAGCCUCUUAGCGGCGAAGUCGUCGCACGCGCUGAACUCGGCUCUAGUCACUUGACAUAGCCAUUCUAGCGGCGAACACGGCGUUCUUACCCAGCGAGGACUCGAGUCAUGAAAUAACCAUCUGGCGGCGAACGUAUCGCACCUGACCGAACAACGGUUCAAGUCACGACUCAGCCACCUGGCGGCGCACGCAUCGUUCUUACCCAACAAUGGUUUCAGUCAAUCCUGGCGGUCUAAUCCUCAAUCCGCUCAACCAUCCGGCAGCGAAAUCGUCGCACAAACGCCACGUCAAUAGUUAAAGCCCCAGGCGGUGAUCUCCAUGUAAUCGCCCCCCAAUCUUUCCUCGGUAUCAACCUCGGCAGCGAAGUCGUCGCACACGCCCUAGCCUUGAUACCAGGGUCAUCACAAAUCCUGGGAUUCCAGAAUCCACUUUCCAUAGGUCGAGGGUCCAUAGCCAACCCUAUACUGUCGACCUAGCUCAUCCUAGCGGCUAGUACCACUAUACUCAACAACCUAGGUUCCAACACUCUAGGUUCUAUGUUCAUGUCAUAUAACCUAGAUACAAUCUCUAGGUUCUCGUCAUCUUUACCUAGAUGUCCACUUCUAGGUUUACUAGAUCGACCUAUGUUUGCUAACACUAGGUUCGAUGCCACACCUAGACUUGUUCAACUCUAGGUUCACUCGUUUAACCUAUGUUCUUUAACACUACGUUAGGUGCCACUCGAUCUAAUUGACAUCCUAGUUGUCCAAUCGAGUCUCACUACCAAUCAACUCUACACUUCUAGAGUUAUCAUCUAUUUACAUGCAUAUAUAUAUAUAUAUAUAUAUGUAUGUAUACAUAUAUAUAUAUAUAUAUGUAUGUAUACAUAUAUAUAUAUAUAUAUGUAUGUAUAUAUAUAUAUAUAUAUAUAUGUAUGUAUAUAUAUAUAUAUGUGUGUGUGUGUAUUCAUGCUACUCAUGCACUCAUGCGAUCCUCUAGCAUGUAUACAUCAUGUUCAUUAUGCCUUCUACUUAGCAUUUUAAUAUAUGCAUCAUCUACGUCAUUUUAUUAACAUGCAUCAAUAUGAAACCAUAUGUUCUUAGACAUAAAGGGCAACCUAGUUGCUUCGGUAAGCACAACCCACCUUAGCUAGCUUUCCGAUUGCUCGUCGACACUUGCAAUCGGCCUCCCACGGCACUCGGCACCCGUUUGGGCCCGAUCUCACAGUUCUCUCCAAGAGCGCGCCGCUUCGCCGUUUCAACUGCUAAAGGUCUUCGCCUCGCCGUUACGAUGCUCGGACCCGAUUUCAUGAUUUAUGGACGUCGCCUCGGCCUUCCAGGCGGAAACGAAGCUCCAAGCGUCCGUUUCUUCAAUAUCUUUGUAACGGCUCGUCGAAUUGCCGAACCAUCUUCGCCAACUUGUUUCGUUACCUACCUAUUAGAUUUAUGAAGGGUCAAAUGAGAUCAAACUCUCACAUAUACCAAAACCCCAUUUUGUAUGCCCUAGAUGCUAUUGCUACCAAAUCCACCAAAUCGAUCCAUGAAAUGGGGAAAAACCAUCUAAAUAGCAUACUAGGGUUCCCCUCAAACCAACUUUAGGGAUCAAAAACCUAUCUCUAAGGAUCUACCAUGAGAGAGUACCAAGCUUACCUCUCUAGGCUUGCUCCAAUAGAGAGAAGAAGAUGAAGAGGAUGAAGAUGAGAGAGAGGAUCUUCUUCUUGGUCCUCUUCUCCUUCCUCUUCUCUUUUCUUUUUCUUCUUCUUCUUUCUCCCUUCCCUUCUUUUCCUUUUCCUCCUCACGAUCGGAGAGAGAGAGAGAGACAGUGAGGGAGAGUGUGAGGGAGUGAGAGAGAGAGAGAGAACACCUCUCUAAUACCCUCUCAUAUUGUAACAAAAUCCCCACAAGCCCCUCAACUUUUCAUCUCUUACACAGCCCUCACUGUGCGUUCUGCGCGCGGAGGGACCGGUCUCCCCGACCUGGGACCGGUCCCCGAGAGCUCCCCCCGACAUCACGCGUUCGGGAACCGGUCUCUCCCCGAGAGACCGGUCCCCCGGAGACCAGUCCGCCCACCAGAGACCAGUCCCCGAGAGCUCAUCUCGCAGGACUUGGCCAAUUUUGGCCAUUCUCGCUGGUGUCGCCUGCGGGGAUCGGUCCCCCUGCUGCCAGGGACCGGUUGCCUCAGCAACCCCGCAACCCUCGGCUGAUGGGACCGGUCUCUCCAGCCAGAGACCGGUCCCCAAGAGCAAAUCUGCCAAAGAUGCAGAUUUUGCAUCCUCGCUCUCGCGGACUCCAUUCCAAUGCACUUAUUGGGUUUCGUGCAUCAUUAGCUUUUCCAAAACUUAUCAACUCGACCAUUAGUCGAUUCUGGACGAAGUGCAACUCUCGGAUUUCGAGAAUUCACAUUGUUACAUCCCAAGUGAUGUUGUCUAGAGUGGUAGGGUAUCCUCAGUGACGGGGAUUUGAUCAUACUCAUAUGUCUAUUCGAAGCUUGGUGUGGUCGCUCCACACAAGCAGUGCACUCCGGAGUUGUCACAUGAUAGGAAUAGCCUUUCUGGGUCCCGAGGGAUAGCCUUUAUGGAUCCCACAGACGGUCUUGGGAGAGUGAACUGAUCCUUCCCAGGUGAGUAGGGUGAGUGAGCUGAUCCUCACCUGUGAGAUAGAGAUUGGGUUGUGGUACUUGUGUUGAGUCGGGCGAGUGAGCGGAUCCUCCCCGUAGAGAGUGUGUGUGUUGUGAGUCGGCUGAGUGAGCGGAUCCUCCCCGUUGUGACUAGAUUGUGAGUCGGGCGAGUGAGCGGAUCCUCCCCGUAGAGAGUGUGUGUGUAUUGUGAGUCGGGCGAGUGAGCGGAUCCUCCCCGUAGAGAGUGUGUGUGUUGUGAGUCGGGCGAGUGAGCGGAUCCUCCCCUGUGUAACUGAGUAGACGUGUGUGACUUCUUGACAUAGUAUCAUGUGGUAGAUUGCAUAUUAUGUUGUAGUUCAUACAUUUGACUAUUGAUGGCACAGUAGAUCUUAGUUGCAGUUCAAUAUCUAUCUAUCUAUCUAUCUAUCUAUCUAUCUAUCUGUGCCAGCUUAGACCUAGUGGGAAGAUCGGCAGAGUCGGCGGCCGAACACACUGGGAACUAUAUUUAUAUAGUUCUCACCCCGUGUGGUUUUGGGGUACAGGUACACACGAGCGGACCGGCAGUUGAUCGCGGUAAGGGCUUAGCGCCCCAGAGGUUGUAGUAGUAGCUUUCUUACCCUUUGCACUAGAGCUACCUUGUACAUACUUGAGAGUAGAUGAUGUAUAGGUGUGAGAUAUUUUGGGAAAUUGUAAACUUUAAGUUUAUGUUGUAUUUUGGAAGAAUGUAAAGUAAUCAAAUGUAUUAAAGUUGAAUGGAUGUAAUAGAUUAGUAUCUCUCUUUUAUUCACUUAUUUAUUACUUGUGAUGCUUGCUCUUUAGUUAAUUAGCACUGGUUGUGCUCUCGCUGUUGUUGUCUGAUUGUGUAUGUAAUCAAGUUGUUUUCCUGGGCACUUGUGUACACAAUCUCGUUGUUUAGCCGUGGGCGGACAGGGAAGGUGCUGUCCAUUCGGCGUCUGUCCGACGCGC